rnacentral:lncRNA from 1 species
AUAUUAGUGGCCGACCAAGCAAAAAUAUCAGCAUUGGCUCUGAGCAAUUUUAUUAGUUGUUGCCACUCUGAGUCGGAUAAUUGUGAUCCAAUUCGGACCGUUUUCUCAGGAUCUUCUUUUAAUGGGAUGGAAACCAGUUGUUCAGUCGGUUCACCCCUCUCCUAAUUUUCUUUUUGGUUUAAUUUGUCAACAGACAAAGAGUCUUCAGGUUUAUUAUUUUGGGUGGAGACAAGGAAGCAAGUCCGGUGAGUUGUUGAUCUUCACGUAUCUCUCCGACUCCAUAUCAUAUCAAAAAUCAGACUAACAAAUGAUAUGUCGAAACUACUGCUCUCAGAGCAUUAAGCUCAGAUCGUCCAAGUAUGGCAUUAUAAGCCGAAGGUACUCGAACCACCAUGAACGUUAUGAAAACAGUGCUCUGCUAUGGUUCGAUCCCAGCGGUUAAGGGGAGAAAAUUUUUUUUCUCCACUGUGACAGCAUCUCCUGUGAAGCCGACCAGUAGCAUCGAGACUCUUCUAAGUCAGUCAGUUGGUAGUCACAUUCGGAAGAAAAUCGAAUAAAAGAAAACAUCAGUUGAACUUCCAUUAUCUAUAAGAAUUUUUUUUAUAUCAUAGUUCGCUAUUGUUGCCGAAACAACAACAACAUCAUCAUGGAGAGUCUAAAUUGUUCGAAUAUCUUCUUUCAAAAAAGUUAUUAUAUUGUUGAGUCAUCAUCGCUUUACCGACUCACCUUCGAAAGUUACCCCCUUGUCCAGUCGUCUGGAGAUCAUGUUGAUCACCCCUGCAGUUGGUUGAUUAUUUACAGCUUCUUCAGUUUGCAGUUGAGGUCGUCGAUCAGCAGGAGGUUAAGUCGGCAGAUCUCUCUGCUAUUUUUUGAGGUAGCCUCAUCGAAUCAGAACUUUUAUUUCAUCCCUGAGCUAGAUGCAUUGUUCGGUAUCAUGACUGUGAUCACGAUAGAACCAACAAUACUUCCUCCGAUCGUGGCUCCUCGAUAACGCUUUCAUUAGUGGGGGGUGUCAUAGAUACUCCGCUCCUUCGAUCUCCAUA